rnacentral:rRNA from 1 species
GCAAGUCGAGCGGAAACGAUGGGAGCUUGCUCCCAGGCGUCGAGCGGCGGACGGGUGAGUAACGCGUAGGAAUCUACCCUGUAGUGGGGGAUAGCCCGGAGAAAUCCGGAUUAAUACCGCAUACGCCCUGAGGGGGAAAGGAGGGGAUCCACUUGUGGACCUUUCGCUAUGGGAUGAGCCUGCGUGGGAUUAGCUGGUUGGUGAGGUAAAGGCUCACCAAGGCGACGAUCUUUAGCUGGUCUGAGAGGAUGAUC